AAGGAAAGAUAAAUGAAUUGGAACUGUUAAGAUCAAUCUUACAGUUAUGGUAACAAAAUUAUAAAGUUUUGAGGUUUAGAGUGGAUUCAUAGAACUUGUCUGAAAGACUUUCUGCAAAUGACGAGAAACAAGCUCCACAACUCAAAAGAUUAUUAGCAAUCUUCAGAAGAAAAAGGAGUGAUAAAGCCAUUAAGCUGGAGUCUUAGGGUUUGAG
rnacentral:misc_RNA from 1 species